rnacentral:misc_RNA from 1 species
AAGGAUCAUUCGUAAUAAGUGUUUAUGGCACUUUAAAUCCAUACCCACCUUGUGUGCAAUGUCAACCUGACCACAUCCAGCAAUUGUGAUGGGUGUGAGAAGGGUUUCCAUUAUCCACGUCAAUGGUUUUUUUUUUCUUUUAGUCUAUAUUCUUUGAGUAAAACUCAAAUACAACUUUCAACAACGGAUCUCUUGGCUCUC